rnacentral:sRNA from 1 species
GCUUAGCCCUGAUUGAAGUGGCAUCCUUUUUUCUUUUUCAGAAAAAAGAUAUAACGGAAAGCAGGAAAUAGC